CGAAUGCUGACAUAAGUAACGAUAAAGCGGGUGAAAAGCCCGCUCGCCGGAAGACCAAGGGUUCCUGUCCAACGUUAAUCGGGGCAGGGUGAGUCGACCCCUAAGGCGAGGCCGAAAGGCGUAGUCGAUGGGAAACAGGUUAAUAUUCCUGUACUUGGUGUUACUGCGAAGGGGGGACGGAGAAGGCUAUGUUGGCCGGGCGACGGUUGUCCCGGUUUAAGCGUGUAGGCUGGUUUUCCAGGCAAAUCCGGAAAAUCAAGGCUGAGGCGUGAUGACGAGGCACUACGGUGCUGAAGCAACAAAUGCCCUGCUUCCAGGAAAAGCCUCUAAGCAUCAGGUAACAUCAAAUCGUACCCCAAACCGACACAGGUGGUCAGGUAGAGAAUACCAAGGCGCUUGAGAGAACUCGGGUGAAGGAACUAGGCAAAAUGGUGCCGUAACUUCGGGAGAAGGCACGCUGAUAUGUAGGUGAAGUCCCUCGCGGAUGGAGCUGAAAUCAGUCGAAGAUACCAGCUGGCUGCAACUGUUUAUUAAAAACACAGCACUGUGCAAACACGAAAGUGGACGUAUACGGUGUGACGCCUGCCCGGUGCCGGAAGGUUAAUUGAUGGGGUCAGCGCAAGCGAAGCUCUUGAUCGAAGCCCCGGUAAACGGCGGCCGUAACUAUAACGGUCCUAAGGUAGCGAAAUUCCUUGUCGGGUAAGUUCCGACCUGCACGAAUGGCGUAAUGAUGGCCAGGCUGUCUCCACCCGAGACUCAGUGAAAUUGAACUCGCUGUGAAGAUGCAGUGUACCCGCGGCAAGACGGAAAGACCCCGUGAACCUUUACUAUAGCUUGACACUGAACAUUGAGCCUUGAUGUGUAGGAUAGGUGGGAGGCUUUGAAGUGUGGACGCCAGUCUGCAUGGAGCCGACCUUGAAAUACCACCCUUUAAUGUUUGAUGUUCUAACGUGGACCCGUGAUCCGGGUUGCGGACAGUGUCUGGUGGGUAGUUUGACUGGGGCGGUCUCCUCCUAAAGAGUAACGGAGGAGCACGAAGGUUGGCUAAUCCUGGUCGGACAUCAGGAGGUUAGUGCAAUGGCAUAAGCCAGCUUGACUGCGAGCGUGACGGCGCGAGCAGGUGCGAAAGCAGGUCAUAGUGAUCCGGUGGUUCUGAAUGGAAGGGCCAUCGCUCAACGGAUAAAAGGUACUCCGGGGAUAACAGGCUGAUACCGCCCAAGAGUUCAUAUCGACGGCGGUGUUUGGCACCUCGAUGUCGGCUCAUCACAUCCUGGGGCUGAAGUAGGUCCCAAGGGUAUGGCUGUUCGCCAUUUAAAGUGGUACGCGAGCUGGGUUUAGAACGUCGUGAGACAGUUCGGUCCCUAUCUGCCGUGGGCGCUGGAGAACUGAGGGGGGCUGCUCCUAGUACGAGAGGACCGGAGUGGACGCAUCACUGGUGUUCGGGUUGUCAUGCCAAU
rnacentral:rRNA from 1 species